AACUUUCAACAACGGAUCUCUUGGCUCUCGCAUCGAUGAAGAACGCAGCGAAAUGCGAUAAGUAAUGUGAAUUGCAGAAUUCAGUGAAUCAUCGAAUCUUUGAACGCACCUUGCGCUCGUCGGUAUUCCGACGAGCAUGCCUGUUUGAGUCUCAU
rnacentral:rRNA from 1 species